UACACUCCUGCGGGAGGCAGCAGUGGGGAAUUUUGGACAAUGGGCGAAAGCCUGAUCCAGCAAUGCCGCGUGAGUGAAGAAGGCCUUCGGGUUGUAAAGCUCUUUUGUCAGGGAAGAAACGGUGAAAGCUAAUAUCUUUUGCUAAUGACGGUACCUGAAGAAUAAGCACCGGCUAACUACGUGCCAGCAGCCGCGGUAAUACGUAGGGUGCAAGCGUUAAUCGGAAUUACUGGGCGUAAAGCGUGCGCAGGCGGUUUUGUAAGUCUGAUGUGAAAUCCCCGGGCUCAACCUGGGAAUUGCAUUGGAGACUGCAAGGCUAGAAUCUGGCAGAGGGGGGUAGAAUUCCACGUGUAGCAGUGAAAUGCGUAGAUAUGUGGAGGAACACCGAUGGCGAAGGCAGCCCCCUGGGUCAAGAUUGACGCUCAUGCACGAAAGCGUGGGGAGCAAACAGGAUUAGAAACCCGUGUAGUCCCAUG
rnacentral:rRNA from 1 species